UACGAAGGGGGCUAGCGUUGCUCGGAAUUACUGGGCGUAAAGGGCUCGUAGGUGGCCAACUAAGUCAGACGUGAAAUCCCUCGGCUUAACCGGGGAACUGCGUCUGAUACUGGAUGGCUUGAGUUUGGGAGAGGGACGCGGAAUUCCAGGUGUAGCGGUGAAAUGCGUAGAUAUCUGGAGGAACACCGGUGGCGAAGGCGGCAUCCUGGACCGGUAUUGACGCUGAGGCGCGAAAGCCAGGGGAGCAAAGCGGG
rnacentral:rRNA from 1 species